GAACGUUUAUCCUAGUUCGCGAACACAGGAACAACACCAAACAAGCAAGCAAUCCAGGCAUGACCUGCAAGCUGGCAUGAGACGCUAGGUCAGUACAUUGAAUGUACUUGCAAGCUCACAAUAACCAGAAGCAUUCAAGACAAACAACGGCAUGGCAAUUACAGGUUAAGCGGGAAUUAUCGUGAGAUCAUUAUAACAACAUGACAUGAGCACCUGAUAUCCAAAGUAAUACUCCAAAUAAUACCAGAUACCAUCAUGAAAAUAAUCAUAAUAGCCACUAAGAAUCCAAAGGCAAUAUGAACCUGAUACAGCUAGAACAAUAUGAGCAUAGCAUGAACAUAUAAAUCUGACAAUACUAGCAUGCAACAUGAUGACACUAUAUGCACCAAUUAUUCUUCUCGGGUUAUCUCAUAACCAUAACGUGCAUCACCUACCCACCUCGGACAUUACACGAUCAUCUCAGGAUCAAAUCAAGCUUGGUAUAAACAAUACCGUAGUAAUCAUUAAAUGAUCACAAGGAGCUUGAUCUUUACCCAUGAUUUCUCGCACAACAUCACGAAUAUCCAACAACUCGGUAUCCUUGACACCACGGUGAUCAUUCCGGCGAUCACAACCAAAGUAACUCAUGAUCCUUACGGCGAUCAUCACCAAAGUAACUCGUGAUCCUUACGGCGAUCACCACCAACUUAUUUCAUCACCGAACCAGGGUUGUCAUUAAUCAAGUUAUAAUUAAUAUUGUUGACUCACGGUGGGACCGACACGAACUGGGCCCUUAUCCGCGGGCGCAGCUAUCGAUAGGUUUAAUAUACACUCCGUAGAGGUAGCACAAUGUACCCACACCACGGAACCCAUGGCCUCGCACUCCCAUUCGGGUGGACCAACGGUGUUCCGACCAAACUGAUCUACUGCCGUGACACUCUCCCGGCCACUCCGACCCACUCCCAACUGGGCUAGUCCUGGGUGGCCCCGUGUCUACCAAAGACACCCCGACCACCGUCAUGGUCAAAACUCCCUCACGGGGACCGGAUCCAUAAAAAUAAAAACAAGGGCACACAAGGAUAUGUCUGCUUACCGGGCCAGGGUACCGCACGCCCAUAACCUUCCCUAGUUGGAGGCACCGGCGAGAUGCACGAUAAUAGACCCAGUUAGGACCUUAGCCAAAUGGUAAGUGUGCUUGCACUGGUCAGUUUCGAUCUGGCGGCACCAUGACUCAGCCAACAGUUGUUCAAGUUCAAUUAAAUCCGGUUAAACUUGAAUGCCAAAUGUUGAGCCAUGAUAAAAUAACAUGAUGCAAUUACAAUGCAUGAUCAUAAUAUCAACAUAAUCAUGGGAUGCAACAUAACUAUCCACCAAAUUAACUAUGAAAUAAUCUCCAACUGAACAUGGCAUAAUGACGAGCAUAAAUAUUACAAGUGCAACACUACUCAUAGCAUAACAUGACCAUUAUCAUCAACCAUAAAUAACAUGCAAGAACUCAUCAAUAAUAUUACCGAGUAACACUUAACCAACUAACAGCAAAGCAACAAGGCAUAGUAAUAGUACUCGAUAACCGACGUUAAUCGUGCACCGAAGAAGAUGACCAACCCAACAUGUACUACUAUCAAGCAUGGCAAUAUGAAAGCAAUACUAGCAACUAGCAGGGCAGGAUAACCAGUUGCAUAACAACAUAACAUACAAGUUAGCACAAUCCAAGAAGCAUUUCCGAAACAACAAUAACCAUAUUCUAAACAAGCAAUCAUUUAAUAAAUAUUCAAGUUGAAAACCAUGGCUACUGCAUGACUAUCAUGCAAGUGGGUAUUGUGGCUUGCCUGGGGUGACGGAAAAUCCAGGAAGAAGUGCGGUGAAGCCGCGGAACGAAACAUCGGACGGUUUUCUCUCAGAGGAGGCUGAUUAGAGGCAAGUGCAAAAUGGUCAUUUUCAUUGUGAAACCACCUAGUGAUAAUGUUAUCAAAAGAUAGAGCUCGAUGAGACGAAGAAGUGAGAGCUGGUUUCACCUCAAUUGGAGUUACGGUUGCGGAGUUACGAGGUGUAGAAGAUCAGGGACCAAUCUGUGAGUAAACUUCAGCAAACAGGCCCCUGGGGGAAAACUAAAUGUGCCUUCGGGCCGAAUAUGUUUUUUGAAAAGGGAAACGUAUUUUCAGCCGCAGAAGAAGAGAACACGCUUCCCUGAAGGGAAAACGCAUUUUGGAUAAAAGAGGAAGGAAAUACGCUUUCAUAAAGUGAAAACGCAUUUCAAGAAAACGUCUCCACUUAAAAACAACUGGGCCCGGGCUUGUGCCACUUACCGGUGGGGUCCACUGGCAGGGGGAGGGAUCAGGCGCGUGUCUUCUUCCUCCUCUCGUUCCGUUCCUCGACAAAACAAAGGAGGCGAGGCAGAGCAAGGCCGGCGGUGUCCCAGCCGGCUGCGGUCACCGUUGGCCAAGGCGAGGCCACCGGAAGGACCGCAGGAGACGGUCGCGUCCGUCCCCAGGGGCGGCGGGCACCGGGGAGGCAUGGAGGUGCGGCAAUGGGAGGAGGACGGGAGGAGGCAGUGGCGUCGGGUAGAGGGGGUAGCCGGCGAUGAGGGACGACUCCGGUGAGGUCGAGGUGGUGGGGCGGACCGCUGGAGCACGAGGAGUCAGUUGGUGGUGGUGAAGAGGCGAGAAGAUGCUCAGGGAGGCCGGACAAGGAAGCGGCCGAGAGGCGGAGACGACGACCGAACUCGGGGCUUGCGGCCAGAGGCACUCCGGCGAGGGGGAAAGGGGUCGGGGCGACUCGCGAAGACGAGGGGAGGCUUGUGGACAACUUAGGAGGAGAGGAGAGGGACAAGGCACACCGGAACCAAGGAGGAACCGAGGCGGCCGAGGUGAACUCCAGCGAAAAGAGGAGGGGCCGAGGACUCCGGUGGGCUAGGGAGUCAAGUGAGGAGUGGAUGAGCUGCGGAGGGGCUCGGGGCACGCUUAAAUAGCCGCGGGAAGGGCUCUGGUGCUCACAACCGAGCUGGAGCAGUGCACUAAUGGAGGUCAGGGGCUGAGUACGGCACGGGCACUGCUCUAGCGGCUCAUUAAUGGAGAACCACGACGAGGCUCCAAUGCAGGGAGAUGCAGUUGAUCACGGGGAAGCUCCAGGACACGAAUUGAGGUCGAGACGAGGAGGAAGGAGAAGAGCAUAGUGGCCGGAACAAGCCAGAGCACGCCUGCAGCCAUGACGCAAGCGUGAUCACCACGCGCACUGGCGCAAGCGGCACUCUUUGGCGUGGCCAACCAUGUCUAGUGGAUGGACCCUGGUGCCCUUAGUCGAACUGAAGAAAUAAAUUGGUCCAGGGGCAAAGAAGAGAUUUGCACUUAGCUCCAAAAGUAAAUCAGUAAGAAGGUGUUUGUAACUUGUUGUGGUUAAACCAGCAGGGUAACAAGGUAAAGAGUUUGUCUGGCGAUGAUGAUACACUAAGGUGAUGCUGAUCACCAAAAAUCACACUAAGAGGAGGAGUUUAGAUGGUGGUUACAGUAGAAAGUGCAAAACUGGCUAGAAUUGGGGAUUUGUAUGAUGCACUCACAUACUUGAUCUCUGUGAGCUGAAAUUUGGCAGAGAGGGGUUUUAUGAUGAUAUGAAGCUUCUGUAAAAAUUACAUGCCAUUUGGAAAUACCAAAGUGGCACUUGCUUCAUAAAGCUUCAUUUUGGACAGAAACUUAGAAAAAUAACACAGGGUAAUUGGAUCAACCAAUUGAGGUAAAACAUGUUGGGAGUAGUUGAUAUAUGUAGAAUAUUGUCAUGGUAAAGUUUCAGCUCAAUUGAAGCAAUAUAAAAUAUGGUUGCUUCACAAACUGAAAAUCUGACCAAAAACUAAGAUUUGGAGCUGGGCUCACAUAGAUGAGUUACAUGAGCUCAUAUUUGGUGAAGAGUCAUUAUUUGACCCUAGGAAAUACCCUACAAAAUUGCCACUCAUUUGAAUAUGCCUAGAAUAUAGCUCCUUCACAAAGUUCCUUCCUGGAAAAAAACUUUGGAAAAUUGCUGAAAAAUAUUUGCAAAUGGAGCUGAAUUUUGGCAUGAGCCAAUGAUAUGGACAGGAAAAGAUGUCCAAGAAGUUUGGGAUCAAUCAAGCAAACAUAAAUAGCACUUCCUUUGCAAAGUGCCAUUUAGGGCAGAAUAGGAAAAUAAUUAUUGUAGGAUUAUUUUUGAACAUGGCAAUGAAAUAUUUUUCCAUAUUUGAGGAAGAUGUGACCCAGCCAAUUUAUGAGAAUUAUUUGAGAAUUUUAGGAGUGACAUAAAUACAGGUUGCUUCACAAUCUAGGGUUUUAAGGGUUAUUCCUUUAUCAGAAAAGGAAUAUCACCAACAAAAGAAUUUUAGGUUAGGUCAAGGAUGGAAAUGAGACGAUCUUGAGAUGAUGAUGGUGGUGACAAGCCACUAGAAAACCUAGGAAGACAUGAUCUUCCCAAGUUUCAGACCCUCAUAGCCAUGGAAAAGCAAAUCAAAAUAGGAAAUCCUAGAAAAUCAAAGGAAAAAGAAAAGGGUAAAAAUCCAGGCUGUUACAAACCUUCCCCCUUAAAGAAAUCUCGUCCUCAAGAUUUGGUUGCUCAGGGUUAAAUAAUCUUUUUGACUUGAAGAAACCGUUUCCCACUCAGGUUUCUUUUAUUCAUAAUAUUUCCACUAAAUUUGAUCUGACUGAUUGUCUUGAUCUGGGGUGGUUUGCUUCAUUGGAUCUAACAUUCUGACAAGACGUACCUCGGAUGUCCCUCAAAAUUUUCUUUGGCUGAGCUAGCAUCCAAAAUAUUAUUUUUAUGGACAUAUUUGUCCUUGCUGAAAAUGUUAUUCUAGUAUCGAGUACCGAGAACAUUCCACGGAGUUGGGGAAUAUAUCUUCCCGUGGAACAACGAAUCCCUUUUAUCCAGGCAUCGGAUUCCUUGAAUAUAGACAUGCCUUCUGGUUCCAAAAUAGUGAUGUGGAUCAUAUCUAUUUUUGCUAACGGAUGCUGACAUCUUGCAUGAGUUUCCGACUUAUCUUGAAUGGCUUCAAAGUCUUGAGUAUCCAGGUUGUUCCAAAGGUUUGACUGUCGCUUGUCGCGACUAAUAGAAAAAAUGCACCAUCUCCUGAUGAUAAGAUUUGCAGACUUAACUGCCGGUGAGCUUGGCAAAGAAUCCCAUUUACACAGGCUAUUCCUUUCAUUGCUUCCCCUAUGUGAGAGAUAACGAUCCUCAACGUAUAUGUUUUCACACGGAUUCUUCAUUGUUGCCAGUAUCUCUCUGGGAACGACAGUCUGUGCAAAGCUCCAUCAUGGGUGUUCAGGUUAAUAUAUUAAGCUAUCCAGUACCACAAUGGAGUAUAAUUCUUGGGUGGAUAUUUGCUUGGGUUUGCCGUGGAAUAAGACGGUCUUGGGCAUCCACAUUUUUCAAAUAAUAACCGACAUACAUUGGUCUGGUUCAAGUUUUGAGCCUCGGUAUACUUAUCGGGCUCACGUGUGCUUAUACAGAUCUCAAUCCCUGGACAGUGACAGGGUUAAUAAUAUCACCUUGUGAGGCUGAUUUUUAUAAUCACUGCCAAGAUUAUGGUCUCAAUAUGGUCUUUCCUUCAAGACUUGUUGAUUAUGGCAUCACCCAUUGGUUUUUGUUUCGUAAAUAACCGGUGAGGUUGUCAGAUGUGUACCGUGAAUUCUUUAUUGAGAGACAUGCAUGGACUUGGCAGCAUACUGAAUGAACGAAUAUCUGAUUCUCAAGGCAUACCUUUGUUCUGCUGAUUUUUGUUUCAGACCAAAUUGUUGCAGAAGCUUGCGUUCGGAAGAAAUCGGGGUAUCGUGUUGAGGAAGGUUUGGGGGCUUAUGCUCGAAGCCAUCGGUGGAUAUCUUAUUGAGGAGAUCGGGGUAUCGCACCUUAUAAGCUUCCCCCCUUAAAGACUUGCUAGGGAAGACUCGGUACCUUAUGCCUGAAGCUUUUGUAGUAUUUUAUCGAGAAGACUGAAUAUCUUGCAUGGGAAUCCAUUCAUACCCUAUCAAUGCAGACCGGGAACCUUAUCUUUGUACACUUCGUCAAUACAUUGUGGAGAAGGAUGGGACUGAUUUUCUUGGUGAUGGGAAUGACAUAUAUAUAUAUAUAUAUAUAUAUAUAUAUAUAUAUAUAUAUAUAUAUAUAUAUUUGUCAGUCCGGCAGUUGAUUAUUGAUAUGACAAGAAUUGUCUGACUGUCCUUACUAAAUUCACCGCGCAAUUGGACUGACUUCUGGGUGUCGCAAUAUUUGAAUUUUGACUUAUGUCAGAUUCAACCAUUGUGCAUAGCCCAUACCUUUGACUUGAAAUGCACUAUCGAUCUAAUUUUGUUCUCUUGCUGAUUUAAUCUUUGCUAUGAUAAAGUGUAUCUCUGACAGGUACUUGUUGCUAAAAGUCUGAUCAAAAUGCAAUUUGUAUCCGGACGGAUGUGUGCAAUACAAUGAUGUCAGCUGAAAACCUCAUUGAUUUUAACUGCCUUCCUUGGUAUAUAUUUGUACUGCUUACGGGCCCUUCUGAUUCGGUGUCGGUCGAGGAAUAAUUUCCAUAAAGGGGUAACACCGAGGAUUCAAAACAAAAAAGCACGAGAAAACAAUUUAUUGCAACGUAGCACACAACAAACAAGAUACAAAGUUGCCCCACAUAGACACACACAAGCAUGAUACUACAGCGGAUGCACAAGCACUAGACGAAGGACUACAUCCUACGCUUGAGCAAACGCUCGCGAACUGACGAGGAAGCUAAGGGAGUAGUGAGUGGAACCACUAACUCUGAAGUUCCGGAUGGACGUGGCGGAGGAGUUGGAGAAGCUGGCGGAGACUGAGGUAAAGCGACACCAAGCAAUCUCCAGGUCCGAAUGGCGUCCCGGACUAACUCAGAAAUAAGAAGACACUCGGCCGUCAUGUAACAAGACGUGGCUAGGAUAGCCGGGUCAUCUCGAGGGUUGACGGAGGGAAAUUGGAUUCGCCUAGGAUUCUCGGUGAUGGUGGGAUAAUAUUGAUAAGCACGGUUCUCCUGCACCAUGCUCUCUUGGUGACGAAGAUCGGUGACUCCUGCCAUUGCAGCGAGCUGAACGGCAUGCUCAGGAGUAGCACCGUAACCACCGUGGAAACUGUAGGUGCGCUUACCGACAGGAAUCAGGGCUGACAGAUGAACAUGAGCAACAUAUUUCUGAAUUCUUCCUCCAGCAGAAAACUGGAAUACUUGAUAAUGAGGUGGAUCUCCGAAGGGAUAAAUACUACACCACAUGUCGCCAAGGAGGGCGGCAAAGAUGAGAGGCGCAGGAGUGGGGCUGAACUCAAUAGGAACAACACCGAAAGCUAAGGGAAGAGCACUGAACUCAUGGAAGUUGACCGCCAUCUACGCAUGAAACAAGGGUUAAUGGUAACCGCAGUAAGACUAUAUGCAGCAAACAAAUGCAACAAUCAAAUGCAACAAGCAAGGGCAACAACCAGACCCUAUGCUACCGUUUUUUAACAUUCCAGUAGACUAGGACGCUCUAUAGCCAGACCUACUCUAAUACCAAGCACUGUGGCACCUCGGCUCAAAGAAAACCGGAACGCCAUGUAUUCCAGCCCAGAGAUCGAGGUGAAGUCUUCUGGAAUACGGCACUGCUUAGCAUAGAAAAAACCAUCUCUCUAUUACAACACGAAUAUGAUUACAAGGGUUUCGAUAUUACAAUGAAUAACAUCAGCAUGGCGACACUACGCCAACCACGGUUGCUCUAUACAAGUAGCAUAAUACUCGAAGCAGCGGAACAACUACUGGCAGCGGAACAACAAACGACGAUGAUGGACUCCAAUCCGCAGGGACUCUGGCUUGAACGUUAAUCCUAGCUCGCGAACACAAGAACAACACCAAACAAGCAAGCAAUCCAGGCACGACCUACAAGCUGGCAUGACAUGCCAGGUCAGUACAUUGAAUGUACUUGCAAGCUCACAAUAACCAGAAGCAUUCAAGACAAACAACGGCAUGGCAAUUACAGGUUAAGCAGGAAUUAACAUGAGAUCAUUAUAACAACAUGACAUGAGCACAUGAUAUCCAAAGUAAUACUCCAAAUAAUACCAGAUACCAUCAUGAAAAUAAUCAUAAUAGCCACUAAGAAUCCAAAGGCAAUAUGAACCUGAUACAGCUAGAACAAU
rnacentral:lncRNA from 1 species